rnacentral:rRNA from 1 species
UCCCAUUCCGAACACGACGGUUAAGCCUUUAGAAGCCGAUGGUACUGCACGGGAGACUGUGUGGGAGAGUAGGUGGUCGCCAGGU